GGUGCCAGCAGCCGCGGUAAUUCCAGCUCCAAUAGCGUAUACUAAAGUUGUUGCAGUUAAAAAGCUCGUAGUUGGAUUUCUGGCGGGGACGGCUGGUCGGUCUCGAAAGGGGCUGUACUGUUGUUGGUUCCCGUCAUCCCUGGGGAGAGCGGCUCUUACAUUAAGUUGUCGGCGUCGGGAUCCCUAUCUUUUACUGUGAAAAAAUUAGAGUGUUCAAAGCAGGCUUAGGCCCUGAAUACAUUAGCAUGGAAUAAUAAGAUACGACCUUGGUGGUCUAUUUUGUUGGUUUGCACGCCAAGGUAAUGAUUAAUAGGGAUAGUUGGGGGUAUUCGUAUUCAAUUGUCAGAGGUGAAAUUCUUGGAUUUAUGGAAGACGAACUACUGCGAAAGCAUUUACCAAGGAUGUUUUCAUUAAUCAAGAACGAAAGUUAGGGGAUCGAAGAUGAUUAGAUACCAUCGUAGUCUUAACCAUAAACUAUGCCGACUAGGGAUCGGUGGGUGCAUUUUUAGGCCUCAUCGGCACCUUAUGAGAAAUCAAAGUCUUUGGG
rnacentral:rRNA from 1 species